rnacentral:rRNA from 1 species
GAUGAACGCUGGCGGCGUGCCUAAUACAUGCAAGUCGAGCGAACAGACGAGGAGCUUGCUCCUCUGACGUUAGCGGCGGACGGGUGAGUAACACGUGGAUAACCUACCUAUAAGACUGGGAUAAUUUCGGGAAACCGGAGCUAAUACCGGAUAAUAUAUUGAACCGCAUGGUUCAUUAGUGAAAGACGGUUUUGCUGUCACUUAUAGAUGGAUCCGCGCCGCAUUAGCUAGUUGGUAAGGUAACGGCUUACCAAGGCAACGAUGCGUAGCCGACCUGAGAGGGUGAUCGGCCACACUGGAACUGAGACACGGUCCAGACUCCUACGGGAGGCAGCAGUAGGGAAUCUUCCGCAAUGGGCGAAAGCCUGACGGAGCAACGCCGCGUGAGUGAUGAAGGUCUUCGGAUCGUAAAACUCUGUUAUUAGGGAAGAACAAAUGUGUAAGUAACUAUGCACGUCUUGACGGUACCUAAUCAGAAAGCCACGGCUAACUACGUG